GCGGGAAUACUACAGGUAUACCUACCUGCCAUAGUCGGGGGUCGCGAGUUCGAGUCUCGUUUCCCGCUCCA
rnacentral:tRNA from 1 species